UACGAAGGGGGCUAGCGUUGCUCGGAAUCACUGGGCGUAAAGCGCACGUAGGCGGCUUCUUAAGUCUGGGGUGAAAGGUUCAACGCUUAACGUGAACAGUGCCUUGGAUACUGGGGAGCUUGAAUGUGGCAGAGGAUAGUGGAAUGGCUGGUGUAGCGGUGAAAUGCGUAGAUAUCAGUCGGAACACCCAUGGCGAAGGCAGCUAUCUGGGCUAACAUUGACGCUGAGGUGCGAAAGCGUGGGGAGCGAACGGG
rnacentral:rRNA from 1 species